rnacentral:lncRNA from 1 species
UUUCUGUAUUUUGUUGGUUUGCUUUGAAUCCUAUGGAUAGUCUCCCUUUGGAUGGGAGGACUCCUUAAGGGUCUAAUUACUAGGCAGAGGUUUAGACAGGCAGGCUUCCUCUUAGGGCACAUGGACAGGAAAGAAGCAGGCAGACCAAGCAAUUGCCAACUUAAUGCCCCUCUUGGACAGUGCCACCCUCCUUUGCAUGUGCUCUUUGUUCAGAUGGUUUGUGGGAAUCCAGAUUCCCCUUAGCCUCCACUCUGAUUCUUCCUUCAGCCUCAAACAUAUACUCAGAGUCUCCCCAGACAGACCAGGCACCUCCUUGUAGACUUCUCAGGCUUUAACUCGAUUACUCUGUGUAUAUGUAAAGAGGAAGAGAGGACCUGACUAGCCCCUCUUCAAUGAAGUUGUCCAGCGCAAUUUUGAAAACAAAAGGGCAUGUCUCUUCCCUUGAAGGAAACUGGCUCUGCUCUGAUUUCUCUUUCGAUCUAAUUCUAUCUGUAUCCGUGUUCUCAAAAUUUCUACUUGGAGCUUAGGACUUGUCUUAAGAAUCUAUUUUAUGUUAUUUCAGUGAAUAGGAGAAGUAGCGAAGUGAUGAAAAACGUGCUUUCCAUCCCACAUUUGGGAACAUAAGUCAAGUCCACAUCUUUUGAUUUGUACUUCCUAUCUAGUGCUUCUGAAUGUGGACUGUGAGUGUUUGAAGUCUAAGUCCUAACAUAGUAGUUUACAACACAGGUAGGUCAUACCAUCAAGAACUUCUCUUCCUCCUCUUCCUUUAGGGUUUGACAUUUUUAACUCUAAAAUGAGGGUACCAGAUCACAUGGAGGGAUCUCUAAGCUGAGAAGAAUAGUAGUUAAACUCUUCAGCUCCUAAAGAACCUUAUUCACCCUACUCCAGACCCUCUUAUUCCCCAGUUGAACAUGAGACAGAAUGAACUUUUUUCUUUCUUUUCUUUUUUUUUGAGAAGAGAAACUUUUGAGAACAGUGUGUGGGGAGCAGACGUGAGACAGUCUUCCCUGUUCCCACCCAUGGACAUGUCUCCCUCCCACAUUUCAGGAUUUCAACUCUCAAGGGAGCAUAGCACCCAAUUCCUUGGCUGGAAUGUAGCUGGCUAUAGGACCUCUUAAUCCACUCCCAUAACACUAUUGAAGGGCUGUUGAGAGAUUAGAGAACUAUAAAAUAAAUUAGAAAAGGUCAAAAAUCACUCUUCCCUCAAUUUCCUAUAAAGUUAAAAUGAACAUGAUGGAAAUUCUGUAAUUUUUAAGAGACCUAGAGAUGACCAAGGAAGGGACUCCUAGGUUCCACCCAGUGAGUCAGAGGACCCCAUAAAGACAGGGGAAUAGACUGCCCAUUAUAAGUGGACACUUUCCAGGAGGAUGCAUGAAGUCAGGCAGCUGUAGAUUGUCACUUAGCUGGAUGCCAAAACCAUAAAACAAGCUACUCAUAGAAUCAGGAGGUGGAUAUGCUCAUUGGACACAUGAGGUAAGGAUUGACCAACAGAGCCAGUACCAGACUCACAGCCCAUCACCAAUUUAUUCACAGUCUCUCUUCAUGCAAAUAUUCUUUGGCCUUUCUGACACAGAUUUAAGUCAGGUUUGAGAGUAGGAGGAAAAGGGAGUUUGGGAAAAGAGAUCAUGGAAAUGUUUGAAUAUGAUGGUAGUCACUCAGGGAACACUAGGUUUUAGUCUGGAAGUGACUGGAAAAACGGGAGUACAUUUAUAAAAUCACUACUGAUUGAGAUUGGGACCAGGUCAAAGAAAACCAAGAACAAUUCUAAAAUAAAUAUAUAAAGGAGUUUUAUAUUUACCCAUAGCUUAAUGUUGAUAGUAUAAUUUUGAGCUCUUAAUACCCAAUAAUGUACAUUGUAGUAGAGUGCUUUAUAAACAAAUACCUUAUUUGUCACUAAUAAAAUAGUAAUUGUGUUUCCGUGCUAAGAAAUAAAAUAUUCAAAUAUGUCUCCCUCUGAGAUUAAGUUUAGGUACUGUCUUGGCAGUUCAUUAAUGCUCCAGUAAUCUCUAAGGCCCGAAUACAGUUAUCACACAAACUUAUGAAUUAAGUCAUUCAUGAUAUGCUCACAACCAUCUGGCUCAUACCUUUGCAAUCUGAAAACAAAGUUAGAUACUGACAUUCCUCCUCCCAUUCUCAGUCUUAAAAUUGAAGCUUAGGAGUUCCUGUCAUGGCUCAGCAGAAAGGAAUCUGACUGGCAUCCAUGAGGACAUAGGUUCGAUCCCUGGGCUUGCUCAGUGGGUUAAAGAUCCGGCAUUGCUGUGAGCUAUGGUGUAGGUCACAGACACAGCUAGGAUCCCAUGUUGCUGUGGCUCUGGUGUAGGCCAGCAGCUACAGCUCAUAUUCAACCCCUAGCCUGGGAACCUCCAUAUGCUACAGGUGUGCCCCCUCUCCCCCAAAAAAGGACAAAAUUGAAGCUUAGGGGAAGAGUUAGAAAUUUACUCACAGCCUACUAAAAUACAUCUUGUUAUUAUUAUUUUUUAGAACUUGUGCCAUGUUCUGCCUGAUAUUUUAGGCAAUCAGAAAAUAUUAAUUAAUCCAGCACCAGAGGGAAGAACGAUAGCACAAUAUUUCCAGGAUCAUUUCCUGCCUGACAUCUUCAUAUUAAUCACUUUUUGCAUAUGUGUUGACUGACAUGAUUUCGAAACAAACCAAACUUUAUAAUUCUUGCCUUCAAAUUUGAGUUAUUUGUCAUUGAAGAUCGUAUCCCUAAAUUGUUAUUUCCAAACUGGAUUUUUUCGCCAUCUGUUGUAUGAAAAAAGAAGUGCGUAGAAGUCUACAAAUCUUUUUGGUUCAAAAUUGCAUGUUUCUCUCUAUCAUGACAGUUCCUAAGCUAUGUUCUGUCUCUUUUUAAGUCUAUUUCUGAUCUCUUGUUCCUGUUCAAAUUGAUCCUGCACAGGUCAGUCUGACCCAUAAAUGACACAAAAUUGUUUUUGAGGUUUGAAAUCUUAAUAUCAGAUAAUGUCUAAAUCCGCCAUGAAAUUUUGCUUCAUGCUUUUUGUUCCACAGUAAUUACCACCUUCAUCAUCAUAUUCAAGUUUUGGUAGAUUAAGCUGCUUUAAAAAAUACCGAGAGAAAACGUAUUUUUUAAACUACAUAGUUUAUUUUUAUUUUUUGGAAAUUGAUUACUGAUACUUACACCUAAAGGGAGACUUCCAUGAUUUUUAUUUUCUUCUUUAUCCAAAAAGAGAUGGCAUUGUUGUAAAUGCCUGUUGCUGAUGUAGGGUGCCCUCAAUUCUCAUUCUUGAACAUGAGCAACAUCUUCUAGGUUAGAAAAUUUCCCCAAUAUCUUCGAAUACAUGAAGUCAGUCAUUGAAACCCUUUCUUUAACCAUCAAGUGAGGAUGUGAUGGUCUGGUUAUCUCUAGGUUCGAAACUACAAAUUUAGCUUCUAAUCCAGUUUCCACUUAAUAUCUGAGUGACCUGGGACAUAUCAUUUUAACCUUCUGUGUCUUAUUUUAUGUUAUAAAAAUGAUGAUAUAAUAUCAGUCACUCAAAGUGUAUUAAAUUCAAUGAGUAAAAAAUGGCUGAAUUGUGGUUAGUAUUCCAAAACUUAACUUUUCUUCCUUUGCUUAUCUUAACUAUAGAACAUAUUUUAUGCCAGAAUCUAUCAACCUCAUAUUUAGAUGUGAUUUAUUUUUCCAGAAAUUCUUUGAACGCCUUGGUAUCAGCUUCUACCAAUGUCUGAAUGUUAAAAUUUUGCUCCAUGAGCAUCCAGGGCCCCGGAAUUUGUGUGAGGCAAGGACCCACAGAGCAAAGUUGCAGCCAAGAAAAUACUGUUUCUUCAGGCAUGACAUCUGUCCAGAUGUCACAGAUGCCUUUGAAUGAGUACUUCAUACCCACCCCCUAGGAAUACUAGAGCUGUCUCCCUACAGAGAAAGGAAAUCAAGUGCUAAGAGUCAGCAUAAUGUGUCCACAUAUGGACAGAUCCUCCAUUUAAAAAAAAAAAAUCUGGUUAAUCUAAAAUACAAUACAUAUCAACUAUCUAUGAAACAAAAAGAUGCACAGACAUAGAGAACAGACUUGUGGUUGCCAAGGAAUAGGGAGUUGGGGGAGGGAUGGAUGGGGAGGUUGGGAUUAGCAGAUGCAAACAUUAUCUAUAGAAUGGAUAAACAGCAAGUCCUACUACAUAGCACACAAAAAAACUGGAUUCAAUAUCCUGUGAUAAACUAUGAUGGGAAAUAAUAUUGAGAAGGAAUGUAUAUGUAUGUAUAACUAAAUCACUUUGCUGUACAGUGGAAAUUAACACAACAUUGUAAAUCAACUAUACUUCAAUAAAACACAUUUUUUUUUUAAUCCAGUUACUCUGUUUCCAAUGAGACUUUAUAGCUAGGCUGUACUGAAGCUGUAGAAAGUACAAUUGUGAACUUACUCUCAGUAUUUAAGGCACAUCUUAAGUGUGUGCUUAUUAUCAGUAUUUAAGACAUGUCUGCUUAUCCUCACUGUCACCUGUCUGUUCAAAAGAAAAAGUAUCGAAGGGCUAUGCCUUUAUUUGAAAGUCAAAUGUAUUUCUGUAUCUUUACCACAUCAAUUUAUUUAAAGAUUUAAUUCCCCAAAGCCAAAAUGACAAAAUCCACAGCUUAGAGUCAUUUAUUAAAAUUUAAAGCCACAGCUUAAAUUAAGAGAGCUGUUAGGGGACCCUGUAGUUCAUGAUUUGAAGACAAUUAUUUAUUUAUUCUGCAGGAAUAACACUGCUAAUUUUAAAAUGUUCCUUCUUUGCCUUUAAUGUAUAGUAACUGUAAUCAUAGAAUUUUUCUGAAGUCUUUUUCUGCUGUUUGGUGAAUCACAUAGCAGAUAUAAACCCACCCCUUCCUCAAAGAAAAAGAGAAAAAAAUAAAAGCUCCAAGAAUCAUUGAUCCAGGCUUAAAGCCAAGCAAUCUAUUUUUAGUGCUUUCUCAACAAGCCACACAAUAAAAAUGUAAAUGGAAUGGUGCUACUUUCUUCUCACACCUUUUUUCAAUGUGAAAGUUUGAUGCUAUUUAAAUUAUUUUCAGACUAUUUUCAGGGAACUAGUUACUCCAGUUUGGGAGCCUUACUAUCCCAAUUUCAUACUCAUCAUAAUUCCAUGUGUGUUAUUAUAGCCUUACAAUAUUUGACCUUCAUGAAAAUCUGAGGAUGAUCUUGAGUUAUCUUGCUAAUCUGGGUUGCUGAAUUUGAUAGAGUCCGUUGGAUAUCAUCCAAGUCUUUCCUCUCCCCCAAUUUAUUGAGAUAUACCUGAUACAUAAAGUUGUGUAAAUUGAAGGUGCACAGUGUCUUGAUUUGAUACACAUAAACUGCAAUACGAUUACCACUGUAGUGUGAGCUAACAGCUCCAUCAUAUCAUAUAAAUACCUUUUUAUUGUUGUAAGAAUAUUUCAGAUCUAGUCUCGGUGAUUUUUAAGUAUAUCCUACAGUAUUAUCUUUAUUUGUAAUGCUAUGAACAGAUCCCAGAACUAAUUAAUCUUCUAAUUGGAAAUUUGUACUCUUUGACCAGUAUCUCCCAGUUUCUCCCACCUCCUACCCCUGGUAAGCACCAUUCUAUGCUUUGUUUCUGUGAGUUCAGUUUUUUUAGAUUCCAUGUAUAAGUAUUGCAUAUAGUAAUUACAUAUCUUUCUCUAUCCAACUUAUUUCAUUCAGCAUUAUGCAUUCCAGGGCCAUCCAUGUUGUCCCAAAUGAGAUUUUGUUACUUCUCAUGACUGAAUAAUACUCCAUAUAUUCCUAUAUAUGUAUAUCUUCUUUAUGCAUUCUUCCACUGUGGACACUUAGAUUGUUUCCUAUGUUGGCUAUUGUGACUAAUGCUUCAAUAAACAGAGGAAACCAGUUCACUUCAUUUCAGUUUAUGAAUCUUUUCUCCAUGUGGUGUUUUUUUUCAGUCUAGCUCCUCCUAGGAUAGAUAAUUUAGCUUUCUGGAACACCUCUAGAUUAUAAAUUCCCUAGAAUAUGGAACUAUGUUUGAAACCUCUUUGUACCUAAAGAGUAACAUAGUAUGUAAAGCAUAAUAAUAGGUAGCAUCUAUAAAAUGCUGACCCUAUGUCAGAUACUAUUCUAAACUCUUCCCAUACAGUAACUUAAUUUUCACAAUGUAAAGAAAUGUAUUACUACUAUAUUUACAAUUGAGUUAACCUGAAAUUAACCUGAAAUUCAGAAGGUGAUUCAGCCAAACCCACACAACUAGUAUAUGACGUAGCAAAAAUUUGAGCCUAGAUAACUCUUGAGUUCUACCAUAUACUGUCAACUAGUGGAAGACGGGAAUGAGUGCAUGGUUUGUAGAAUUAAAUAAACUCCUCUGGAACCUAAUAGAACUCAGAAAAAUUGUAGAUAAUGCAGAUGGGAUGAAAACAAAAGUGAAAGAGAAAAAGGUAGAAUAAGGAAGGUGGAGAGUAGCACCAAAGAAAGAGUAGGGAAUGUAGUAGACAGUGAAGAAGGAAAUUAGGCCAAGUGGAGGAGUUCAUGGUGAAAAUAUAGAAAAGAAUGAAAAGAGCCUGCCUGGGAG